GAGAAUAGGACGAUAGUAUAAUGCAGUCGAACGAACUCUGCGUAUUGAUUGGUGCUUGCAUCAUGAUUUACAUUUGAGUGAGUGGCGAACUGGUGAGUAACACGUGGGAAACCUGCCCAGAAGCGGGGGAUAACACCUGGAAACAGAUGCUAAUACCGCAUAACAACUUGGACCGCAUGGUCCGAGCUUGAAAGAUGGCUUCGGCUAUCACUUUUGGAUGGUCCCGCGGCGUAUUAGCUAGAUGGUGGGGUAACGGCUCACCAUGGCAAUGAUACGUAGCCGACCUGAGAGGGUAAUCGGCCACAUUGGGACUGAGACACGGCCCAAACUCCUACGGGAGGCAGCAGUAGGGAAUCUUCCACAAUGGACGAAAGUCUGAUGGAGCAACGCCGCGUGAGUGAAGAAGGGUUUCGGCUCGUAAAACUCUGUUGUUAAAGAAGAACAUAUCUGAGAGUAACUGUUCAGGUAUUGACGGUAUUUAACCAGAAAGCCACGGCUAACUACGUGCCAGCAGCCGCGGUAAUACGUAGGUGGCAAGCGUUGUCCGGAUUUAUUGGGCGUAAAGCGAGCGCAGGCGGUUUUUUAAGUCUGAUGUGAAAGCCUUCGGCUCAACCGAAGAAGUGCAUCGGAAACUGGGAAACUUGAGUGCAGAAGAGGACAGUGGAACUCCAUGUGUAGCGGUGAAAUGCGUAGAUAUAUGGAAGAACACCAGUGGCGAAGGCGGCUGUCUGGUCUGUAACUGACGCUGAGGCUCGAAAGUAUGGGUAGCAAACAGGAUUAGAUACCCUGGUAGUCCAUACCGUAAACGAUGAAUGCUAAGUGUUGGAGGGUUUCCGCCCUUCAGUGCUGCAGCUAACGCAUUAAGCAUUCCGCCUGGGGAGUACGGCCGCAAGGCUGAAACUCAAAGGAAUUGACGGGGGCCCGCACAAGCGGUGGAGCAUGUGGUUUAAUUCGAAGCUACGCGAAGAACCUUACCAGGUCUUGACAUACUAUGCAAAUCUAAGAGAUUAGACGUUCCCUUCGGGGACAUGGAUACAGGUGGUGCAUGGUUGUCGUCAGCUCGUGUCGUGAGAUGUUGGGUUAAGUCCCGCAACGAGCGCAACCCUUAUUAUCAGUUGCCAGCAUUAAGUUGGGCACUCUGGUGAGACUGCCGGUGACAAACCGGAGGAAGGUGGGGAUGACGUCAAAUCAUCAUGCCCCUUAUGACCUGGGCUACACACGUGCUACAAUGGAUGGUACAACGAGUUGCGAACUCGCGAGAGUAAGCUAAUCUCUUAAAGCCAUUCUCAGUUCGGAUUGUAGGCUGCAACUCGCCUACAUGAAGUCGGAAUCGCUAGUAAUCGCGGAUCAGCCCUUAGGUUUCUAGAGACAGCUAAU
rnacentral:rRNA from 1 species